GAAAAUGCUCAUUAGAGCAUUUCAGACUUAGGAUUUUGGGAUUAGGGCUGCUCAACCAGUAAAGCAAAUAUUCCAAAGUCAAAAAAAAAUUCUGAAAUCUGAAACAUUUCCGGUCCCAAGCAUUUCAGAUAAGGGAUAUUUAAACUGUAGCCAUCCCGACGAGUGUGAGGCGUCUUCUCAAAAGUCUUGCACACUAUUUUGUCUGCUUUGAUCUGUCAUGUGUUUCCUACCACUUUGAAAGCAUAACGAAUUUUAUCCGUAUUCAUUUAUGAUGAGAGGCAGUCCAGGCAGUGCAAAGGGCACAAAUCGUGGUCCCACAAGUCCUGGCUUCUGACCCGGAUCACUGUGAGACCCUGAGCAAGCAAGAACUUGCUCCAGGCCUCAGUUUCCUUGGUCUCUGGGGGAAGCCAGGAUGAUAAUCAGCCAUGCUCCAACCCCUCAGCUGAAACUCAGGCCUGGAUGCAUUGUAAAUGGAUUUCCUCUUCCACAGCCCCACCUGCAGAGUCAAGUCCCUCCUCCCACCUCAGCACUGCUAGAAAAGAGCUUCAGGAUGGAGCCACACAUGUCACUCAAGCCCAAGGGUCAGUCAACAGCCCACAGCCCUAAAUUCAUCUGUGUCCAAUGCCAGACCCUGCAACUGCUGAUUUACAUGAAUCAACUCCAUCAUGCAAGCCUCAUGACAUCCCAAUGAGCCACCAUCCUGUGAGGAAGCCCAGAGCACAUGAAGAGACCACCUGCACAUGUUCAGAUCCACUGCCCCAGCUAAGAUCUCCGCUGACAGCCAGACCAAUCACCAAUCUUAGGAGCUGGCGAGCCUUCAGAUGGUCCAACCUUUGAGGCCCCCCAGAGGAGCCAGGUGGAGCAUAGAUGAGCCAUCCAUGUGGAUCCCUCCACCAAAUGGAAGAUUUAGGAGCAAAAUAAACAAUGUUGUCAUUGCUUUCA
rnacentral:lncRNA from 1 species